rnacentral:misc_RNA from 1 species
AGAAAAUCUAUCUAAUCGAAGUCCAGGGCCUAAUCCUUGUAUUGGUUCUUGACUUUCUGUGUAAGAGCCCCGCAGGGAAGCCCCAUCAGGCUAAUGCUCUCCGUACGCCCUAUCGUUUAGUCGUAGAAGGUCCAUAAGGAUUCCAAUCGGCUAAGUCUUGUAUUCCGUCCUAGCUUUCGAUUUCUUCGUUGAAGGAGUUAAG